rnacentral:rRNA from 1 species
AUACGGAGGGGGCUAGCGUUGUUCGGAAUUACUGGGCGUAAAGCGCACGUAGGCGGUUUAUCAAGUUAGGCGUGAAAGCCCCAGGCUCAACCUGGGAACUGCGUUUGAUACUGAUAGACUAGAGGCCGGGAGAGGGUAGUGGAAUUCCCAGUGUAGAGGUGAAAUUCGUAGAUAUUGGGAAGAACACCAGUGGCGAAGGCGGCUACCUGGACCGGACCUGACGCUGAGGUGCGAAAGCGUGGGGAGCAAACAGGAUUAGAAACCCCGGUAGUCC